rnacentral:lncRNA from 1 species
GGACUUGUGGCCCCAGGCUGAAAUGUAGUCCUGGGCCACGGGUAGGAUUUUCUCUUGGCAUCAACCUCCAGAUGCUCUCAGAGAUGAGAGCACCUGAGCUGGUCAUUCUGCUCAGCUGCACAUCUGCUGCUCUGGUACCCAGUCUGCUUCUCUUGCUGAAACUCCAUUGUUUCCUCACUUCCAUAUCAUGUGAAAAUAUCAUCCAUUUUAGUUAUACCUACAUGUUUCUUUACAGGCCACCCAAGAUCAUGUAGACUGAAAAGUUUCAUGUCUGUCAUUUGUUAGUAUCAGUAUCAUUUAAUAGAUCAGUAUCAGAACAAGCAUAAUCCAGGAGGGUCCAAUUCAGUAUUCCAGUCUGACCCUAAACCGAAAACAACUCUAAAUCAGGUCCCCAGUUCAUGGUGAUGAGGCAGGCCCAAGACCAAGCCAGGAGGUCAAUCUGCAGGCCACCAUCAGGUCCAGUGAUUGCCAGGCAGGUCGGGACGAGGCAGGGCUGUGGGGAGCAGGAGACCAGUCCUGAUGAGGCAUUGCUGCAGCAGGAGCUGACAGCCCCAGGGGACUGAGAUGGGGCCCUGGGUUGUGGGUAGGGUGAGGGGAGCCCCAGGGGAGGUGGUCAGGGCCACCGAGAUGUAAUUGUGCACUCAGGGCCCUGACAUACACUGCAGUAGACAAUCCUGCUCUGCUCUGCUUUUGCCUUCCAAAACUCUGCGAUAAUCAUUUUAUGGUAAUAGUUCUAAUUAAGUCAAUUAGGCAAAAUUAGACGAGUACCUUAAAUGGCAGGUGAAAAUUAUUUACCUUAUUCUACUGCCUGAGGACUCGUAAAUGCACAAGAACGUAAAUAUGUUUAAAUGCAGCUGACAGUGUUUGCAACAAGUGAAGACAGAAGAAUACUGAUGAGUGCAUAAAUGUGUAUCUUAAUCAUUUUGUUUCCAUUCAAUCAUUUCAAGGAAAGGGAACUCUGCAAGUGAACUAUCAUUAUUUAAGAGACUUAGACCUUAUCCUCAUCAAAGACCGAAAGAGAAAUGUGCAGCCAUUUACCAGCCACCCAAUUUUUCUGAGAACUUGCAGCAGUGGAGCAGAGCCCUGCUCAGUAAUGGCACUCAGGAGCUAUAUGAACCUUUUUGCACCUGGAAAAAAACACUCACAAGGUAUCAGGUACUGGGCUGAUGGUUCCACUUCAGCCCAGUUCUACAACCACCCUCUGAUGGCCCUGCUGGAAAUCCUGACACCUGAGUCACUAAAAGCUGCAGUAGACAAUGUGCUUGAG